AGCCCCUAGCACAGCCCUGUGCUAGACAAAGAGGUGCUCAAUCAAUAUUUGUCAAAAGACCUGAGCAUUCCAGCUUUGCCUUUUGAGCCUUUCCGCUUCCCAUCCCCACCCCGGAAGUUCCGUCUACUCUUCGGCUUUGUGAUGCAAUCUCCGAGGAAGAUUGAGAAGCCUGAGGUGGAAGAGGGAGAGCAACAGUGGAGGACGUGGUCGGAAGUGAGCGGUCGGUCUCCACAAGGAACGACAAGGAGUGUCUACAGGAGGAUCUGACAUACCCUGAAUCAUCUCUCCUGUCUCCUGGUUCCUGCACAUAUUCACAGAUUAUUCUGCAGAUGCAGAAGUGAGGGCUCUUUUCCCUCCAGGGGCUGCGUGGGAGAAGGAUUCCUGGCCUCUCCACCCCAGCAAAUGCUGAGUCCUCUGCCUUCCCUGCCUCCUGGUCCCUAGGAGCUUGCAUUGCUAUUCUGUGAUUUGCAGUUCAGGUAAGUGAUUUUGAAACAGGAGGGGGCUUGGAGUGUCUUUCUCUUCUGAGCGGACUUAACUCCAAUUGAAUUAUGACGCAGGCAAACCACAUUGAAGUGGACACCUAGUCCUACUAUGAAAAUCAUCAGGCAAGGAUACUCCUGCUCUGGGGAUGAGAAAGGAGAAAGUCUUAUUCUUUCCACCUGCACUCAGGGCAGGGGAGGGCACACCCCGUCUGGGUAGGGUGAAAGAGGGAGGGUGGUGGGGUUGGCUUGGCGAGAGUUUUGAAGAAAUUCAGGUGGCCAUUCGCAUACUGAAAGCAGCCUACAUAGUUGUCUGUUGUCACCAUGUGAGCGGGGUUGAACUUGGUGCCCAGGACACACACGUGGUGAGUAGUUGUCCCUGUGUUGGCUUUGUCUUUUCUCUAUAUGUGUGUGAAGGAAUGAAGGGAGGGGAGGCAGGUCAGACCUGAGAAGAGAAAUGCCAUUUUGUCUUUCCUUUUUCAUUUGUUUUGUGUGCGCUCAGAGAGAUUGAGAGAGA